CAGCAGAUGGCGAAGAGGAGGACGAUCACCACCACCAUCUUGGAGACUUUGCUUCUUAUGCUUAUGGUUCUCUCAGACAGGAGGUUGACCUGAAGAGCAGGUUCCACAGUGGGCUGACCCACCCUCUUCACCAUCAGAGUGUAGCAGAAGGAGAUAGUGAGGACAGGCAGCAGGACAGACCGAUCCAAAUGCAGAUGCUGACGAUCAUGGCCACUCUCGGGGUACGAUGGCGGAGAGAUUUCAGAGGGUAGACUGUGACAUAACAGCGGUCUCCACUCAUGGCAGUCAGAGUGAUACAGCCAUUAUCCUCCAGAGGUUUGGAGCACCACAUCAGGAUUUCAAAGCAUGUGAUGAGAGAGACAGAAAGGGGUCGCGGCAAGUUCAUUGUUGAGGCCACCAAGGAAGUGGGUACCGCAAUCCUUCAAUUUUUAAGACACCUGGUACAUUGAGAACACACUGCCUUGUUAUCUUUAAUGCAUAAUGUUUACUCAGGGGAACGGGAUAAGACAUUGGACAGAGGAAUAAUUAGAUCUUAAGCUGAGCAGUGUACUCGUUAUUUCUUCUCAUUUCAUUUAGUAAAUCGAGGAAAGAUUGACUUAUGUUUUACAAAAGGUGACUCUUAUGUUCCAUAAUAUAUUUCUUAAAACAGCAGGGCAUGAUUGCGGCUUUAAAGGCUUGGACAAGAGAGUGCAAGACAGUCAAAUUUAUUUAGUGUCUUCAUGUUUAAUUCAAUUUCAUGAUAAAGCACUACCUCCUCCCUGCUUUCCUUAGAGAUCCAUUUGUCUUAAAUGAUUUACCUGAAAUGACAAAUACAAAUAUUUACCUACAUUAAGACAUUCUCUUUAUUUAUUCACAGAUAAUGCUCAUAAUCAGUAAACUAUAGUGAAUAUUGUACAAGAUGCAAGUUGUUCAAAGUUAAAGCCUGGUGAAGUAACAAUAAGCUGCAGACUUGUUAAUGAUGAUGUUAGUGAAGUCAUGCUGGUUGUAUGCGAUAUCAGCGUUUUAUAGCUGUUGUCUUAAAUGUUUUUAGUUAGAUUUAAAGGAAUAGUUAAAUUUUUUGGAUGUGUAUUUGCUUUCAGCCUACAAGUAAAAGAUCUAUCACCUUAAUUGUCUGUACACUAAGUGCAAGAUUUAGUUGAUAAAUCAAUUAGUUGACCUACAGUACUGAACUGUUUUUUGUGACCAAAAGAAUGAGAUCACGGAUACAGCGGAUACUGAAAUGAGUUUCCGCCAUAGGGUGGCUGGGCUGAGCCUAGGAGAUAAGGUAAGGAGCUCAGACAUGCGGGGGCUGCUGGACUUACAUGUUUGCUGUAACAGCCUCAUAACUCACUGAGCACUUAGGAAGGCCUAUACACCUGCUUAUUCAUGCAAUUCAUGAAGCCAGUAACGUGGCAGCAGUGCAAUGCAUAAAAUCAUGCAGGUGCAGCCCAGGAGCUGAGAGAGUAGAGCCGCUGCUCCUUUGCAUCAAAAGGAGCUAGUUGAGAUGGUCCUUUGGUGGUUUUCCAGGCACGUCCAACUGGGAGGAGGACUCGGGGUACACCCAGAACUUACUAUACUACUAUAGACUAUAUGUCUAAUCUGGGAAUGCCUCAGGAUGCUCCAGGAGGAGCUGGAAAGUGUUGCUGGGGAGAGGGAUGUCUGGAAUACACUGCUCAGCCUGCUGCCACUGUGACCUGAUCCCGGAUAAGCAGAAGAAAAUGAAUGGAUGGAUGGAAAAUAUAUAGGAAACUAUUGUGAUAACUUAUUACUAUAUUUUUUUUUUAGCAAAAAUGCAAGAAAUUUGUUGACCUGUCCAGGGUGUGUCCUGCCUCUCGCCCAGUGUCAGCUGGGAUAUUGCCCCCUCCCCAGAUGAACAGAUGGGUGGAUGGUUUUGGAAGCCCAGAGUCAUUCUGCCCCUGCCUCCUGCUGCACUCCAUCCACCCACCAGAUGUCCUCAGACUUUCCUCCUAGUUACAGUCACUUGACUCCCACACCCACCUCACCUGUUUCCCAUUCCCCAAUUAGGCCCAUAGUAUCAAGCCAUUUCUUUCCUUUCUGUUGCGUGUCACGUUCUGCAUGUUUUAGGACUCUUGCCAUCCUGUCCUCCCUGUGUGCCUCAACUAUCACCACCUCCUCCCUUAGAAUUGCUGAACGGCUCCUGCCUCCCAGGUCUGUGUUUGCCAUGACAUAAUUUCUCAGAAGGAGACAAAUGAGCUUUGACAGCCCACAUUCCCCCACCCUAACCUCACCAAGUAUUUGGAAAGUAGCGAGUGAGUGGAGGAUUGUUUUUGAAGGAAAAACAUUUUCCAAGUACCAGUUGCCUCAUUGGUAUUGAUCAACAAUCCUAUCAAGCCUUCAGCCAUUUUCUGCUAUGGUACAGUCAAGUUCUACGGGAAACAGCAGCUUUGACAGAGACUGAUGAUGGACAACACAGAAGGCAUGGUUCACUUCACCUGCUGUUUCCCUCUGGUUGUUUUCAUUGAACUGUAGAAGUUUUGUUCUCAGGUUAACAGUCUGUAUUUCUUUGAGAAAUGUGUGAGACUGAGGUGAAAAGAGUGGUCAGUUCCCCUUGUCUCAUUACAAUCACUAAAAACCUAAUUACCCUUCUCUCAAGUACACACAAUAAUAAAUGGUCGAAUUCCUCCCUUUCACAGUAAGUGAUUAAAACAUUCUGAAACACAUGCAGGGUUGAAUGAUAAAAGGCAGAGAAAAUGGUUCAGUGAAACAUAAAAAACAGGCAAAAGCUGCAUGACGGACGACUGCUUUUUCCCAAUUUUUAAAAGAAAAGGUUCAGACGCUGAGUCAUUGUUUCACCAGAGGCAAGCGCAUGAGCUUCUUCUCUCCGUGUUCAGAUGAAUAAACUAAAUCACAUCUUCAUGUUUUCAAUUAAAUGCUUAGCCUCUCUGCCUGCCUGUGUUCCUGGCCUGCCACACAGCCUGACAUCUUAGUCUUUUAUGUUCAAAUUAGCCGCAUACAUCUCGUCAUCCUGCAUUAAUUUUUUUUUGAGAAGCCUGACAGAUUGUCUCCUCCUCCUCCACUCCGGCUUCACAGUGACUGAGGAGCACUCCAAACAAAAUAAAAAAAAUAUUAAAUCGUAUUUAAGUCAAGCUCAGUUUUCUAGAAAGGAAAGUAGCAUCUUAUUUGGUGUUGGUCUAGAUAUUCCAUCACUUGAUGGGUUUACUUUUUAACUAAACAGGAAUUGUGGUAACCCUCUUCUUCUUGUUGACCCCCCAGAUGACAGUGUCCACCACCUUUCCAACCAAUUUGGCUUUGGGUGCCCAGCUAGCACAUUUUUAGAGCAGUCAAUGGUUACUAAUGUUUGGUAAAAUAUAAUUACAGUGUAGCGGAGAAUGUGUCAUUUUAAGAUCUGAACUUAAUGCCCACUUACUGACGCACACUGUGCAAUUAAGAAUGUUUUAAGUGAGCAUCGUCUUUGCUGCACAUUGCAGCCUUCACAUGACCUUCCCCUCCACAGUGAUGCACAGAAAGGAAAAGCGUGGACAUGCGAUAACUCCAAUGACGGAGAGCAGAGGUGAGAUGUAGAGUAGGUUUAAGUUGCCAACACGUGCCAAUAGCAAUAUCUCUGUUUACUACCUGCCCAUUCAGAAACCUUUCAGCGGUCUCUGUUGCAGACUUCCUGCCAAGAUCUCUGGAUGUUUUUCAAGCUGCACAAAUCGAUAUUUUUGGAUUCACAAUGGAUCAACUGAGUGUGUGUGUGGUGAUAAAGCCGCAAAGAGUUAACACCCUUGCUCUGCAGUUCCCCUCCACUCUCACCACUCUCAUCAAACCCUGUUUCCAGCCGCAGCCGGGCACAGAAAAAGGCUCUGAUAAACCCACUUCCUGCUCAGCACCAAACAACAGACAAGUCAAGAUUAGAGACUAGCUGUAGAACAUCGUGGAGCAUUUUGCUGCUACAGAGAUAUUUUAUGUUUAGCUUCCCUGUGUGCUUGUACUUUUUUUCAGAAUCUUAGAGCAAAAAAGAGAAGAUAAAAUCUAUCCAGGGAGCAAAAACACAAACAACCAUUAGGGCUUUAAUAAUAUGAAUUCAUGACAAUGUGACAAAUCCACAGAGAAUCACCACCAAACCCUGCAGUUAGUCUCAAGUCUACGGAGCGUUUUAGUGUCUUUCAGCUAAUUGAGUCGGUAGAACAAAGCGGAGUGAAUGGCAGAUUUAACAUUUGUCAUGGUGCCAGAGACACAACUGCAAAUGAAUGAUAAUGUCACUUACACCUUGGUGUGCUGCCCCUAAGCAGCCAAAACAAUAAAAACACACAAAAAAUCACUUAAGGUGGUGGUGUACAGUACUGGGGAUACAACUGAACACAUGCACAAAGGAAUUUGAUUUUUUUUUUUUUUUUUUGUUUCUCUCACUGGACCGAUACACUAACACAGUAGACAUACAGCAGAACAAGAGCAUUAAAGCUUAAGAAAGUCAAGUUGAAUCAGUUUUAUUUUUAUAUCCCUGACAGGUAGGUGGAGCAUAUAGCUGCCAGGCAUUUUUUUUUUUUUGUUUGUUUUGUUUUUAGAAAAUACCAGAGAUGGAUAGAGAGAUCAUUCAGGCCUCGAAAAACCCAAAACCAUCAGGGAAGGCAGCAACAGUGCACCAGCAACAUAUUAUGCAACCUCUACAAAAAAAGAGGUUGUGAAUGUAAACUGCGUUGUUUUGAGGGGUCACAAGGGAAAAAUGUUGGUGUUGAUUGAUGUAGACCUAGAAGCUCUAUGUGUUCCCCUUUUAGCUCUGGAGAUAACUGGUUUACUCUUGGGACAGAUGGUGGCAUGUAUAACAUUUCUUUAUUAGCAACACCUAGCUGAAACUAAUGCAGUCUAAUACAACAGUCCUGCAAUGAAUCCUCCCUUCACAAAGGUUAUAAUGUGUUAACACAGUGACUGUGUUAAACAGCUGUUGAUUCGUCUGUAUGAUCAUUUCGGAGGCUGCAGGUUGCGGUGCUGUUUGUGGUGUAUUGAAUAAUAAAAAGUGGUGCAUCUGC